AUCAGCGAGUAAGAUCUAAAAUAAUAAAAUGACCACAAAAAUUACGGAUUACCUCAAAAAUUUUAAUAUGUAGUUUUACACAGUAACGACAGAAGAAAAUAUCAAUAAAUAUAGAAAAAUUAGAAAAAGUUGAAAAUAUGUAUAUUAAAUUGAAUUAGCUAUUGUCGUCACCGCCGUUAAUACAGUGGGACGGUAUUACAGUAUUCAUGGUUGAGACUUCAUUACUGUAAUGCUAGAUGGCGUUGAAGUAGCUAAAUUUGACUAUUUUUUGACAAACAUUUUUUUUAUCUUUCUUAAAUUUUUUUUUUAAUCGCGCUUUUUACUUCCAAGUGCUGCAAAAAAUAGAAAAAAAUCUUUCUGAUUACCUCGAGAAAUACAUACAUACAUGACAUUUAAAACGCAUAUCAAUUUGUUUGUUUCAGAUGAUCCGGGAACGAGUUUUAAUGUUCCACUUUUUUUCAAGGCGCUUCUGGAAAUUCACCGCUACAGACUUAUCUUUAUAUAUAUAAAUCUUCUGACCGUGUGUUUGCCUUGAGAUUGCUCCUAAACGGAUGGGCCGAUUUUGAUGAAAUUUUGUCUGUACGUUCAAGGAGAUUCGGGAAAGGUUUAUGUUUACAAUUUGGUCCACUGGAAAAUGUUUUUUAAAUAAUUUUUUCAUUUUUAAUCAAUUUUUAAUUUUGUAAUGUUUGAUCGAUAGAUGGCGCUACCAUCGCAGUAUCCAAUAUUCAAACCUUAAAUUGGCGUAAACGUGUAUGAAACAAAACGAUGCCAAAGUAAAAGGCGAUAUCGUUGGAUAUAUAUCAUUAUGAGGAAAAGUCGGAAAAUUGGACAUUUCUAAAAAGUAAAUUUUUUCCAUACACAUUUUUUUUUCAAUUUUUGUUUAUUUUGUUUUUCAAUAUUUUGAUUUGUAAAUUAUUUGAUUCGUUCAAUUUCGGUCGCUUGCUUUUUUUUCGUAUAUUUUUUUUUUUAUUCAGUGAAAACUUUACGUGUGUUUCACACAAAGAGGUCAAUUGCAGAUUGAAAUUUGUUACGAAGCCACCAAGAGGUCGACCUAAUAUCGGUCGGUGUUCUUUUUGCCAACAAAGUAUGGCAGGCCAAGGCAAGGCAAGGCAAGAAGUACUCCCAGGAUGCGGAGACAUACGUUCGGAAUUAUAAUUCGCGGUCAAUCAGCAAGUGAUCGUCACGAUGUUACAGCACGACUUUUCCUACAACAGUUACGAUGUUUGAUUGUCUUUAUCUUGAAGCAACGUAUAUGUGGUGCUGUUGGAUGAGAUGUACUUUGUUGAGUGGCAAAAACCUCUAUUUUGCAUGCACACAUUCUUCUUUGGAUGAUGGUUACACCAUAAUAUGAUUCAUGGACCUUGCGGACAUUACAAUCCCACUUCGGUUUCACAAACUAGAAAUGGUAGAUAUCAACUCUAUCGGCGUCGCUCACCAGAUAACAGAACGUUCAGCAUUCAACUUAGAAGAGUGAAUAUCGAAGUUGACAACACAUGGAUCUAUUGCAGUUUGGUGAAAUCGAUAAAAUACGUUUGGAAAUACGUGACCAAAGGAAGCACAACUUUCGUCAGUGAUCCAUUUGCAAGGACAUUCGGAAAUACUUUGAUAUUAUAAUUGGGAUGCAUCGUCGAAGAAAUAGUUACGCAGAAAGCAAGGCCAACCAGUAGAUUGACAUCCAGGUGUCUUAUUAGCUAAUGCAUUAGGACGAAUUUACACAAUCCACCCGAAAAACAACGAUUGUUUCUACCUUCGGUUGCUAUUGAUUAAGGUACGCGGUUCAACUUUAUUUGAGUCAUUGUUUACUGUGAAUGGUAUAUGGGAAUAUGUGAAAGUUUUGGAGAAGUAAGCCAGCAAUUACAAAUGCUGGAACACGUUAAUCACUGGAAUGAAAAUGAAGUUCGCAUACUUUUCGAUAUAAAGAUUGUCAAAGACAUUUUACAUCGUCUUCGCUAAAAAUUGGAAAUGGUACAAUAACGGUUGAUACUUCCGGUGGUUCGAUAUCAAUUCCAUCUUCCCUUUAUCAAUUCACGAAAGAUGAACUCAUCACGAAUGUUCGGACAUUGGCCAAAUUAUCGUAACUACGAUUCCUUAAGUGCACGCGCAAUGUUAGCUGCCAAAAAUACCGAUGUUGAUGACUUAAAC